rnacentral:rRNA from 1 species
GCUUGCUUCUAUGUGGUUAGCGGGGGACGGGUGAGUAACACGUGGGCAACCUGCCCUGUAGACGGGGAUAACACCGAGAAAUCGGUGCUAAUACCGGAUAACACGGAAUGUCGCAUGACGUUUCGUUGAAAGGCGGCGCAAGCUGUCGCUACAGGAUGGGCCCGCGGCGCAUUAGCUAGUUGGUGAGGUAACGGCUCACCAAGGCGACGAUGCGUAGCCGACCUGAGAGGGUGAUCGGCCACACUGGGACUGAGACACGGCCCAGACUCCUACGGGAGGCAGCAGUAGGGAAUCUUCCGCAAUGGACGAAAGUCUGACGGAGCAACGCCGCGUGAGCGAAGAAGGCCUUCGGGUCGUAAAGCUCUGUUGUUAGGGAAGAACAAGUAGCGCAGUAACUGGCGUUACUUUGACGGUACCUAACGAGGAAGCCACGGCUAACUACGUGCCAGCAGCCGCGGUAAUACGUAGGUGGCAAGCGUUGUCCGGAAUUAUUGGGCGU